rnacentral:rRNA from 1 species
UACGUAGGACCCAAGCGUUAUCCGGAUUGACUGGGCGUAAAGAGUUGCGUAGGUGGUUUGUUAAGCGAAUAGUGAAAUCUUGUGGCUCAACCAUAAGGCUAUUAUUCGAACUGGCAAACUCGAGAAUGGGAGAGGUAUCUAGAAUUCCUCAUGUAGGGGUAAUAUCCGUAGAUAUGAGGAGGAAUACCAAUGGCGUAGGCAGGAUACUGGCCCAUUUCUGACACUAAGGCACGAAAGCGUGGGGAGCGAACCGG